rnacentral:lncRNA from 1 species
GGUUCUCAAAUUGUAACCCAGGACCAUGACUUGGUUCAUUUUCUAUUUCUCUGACAGAUUCACUAAGACUGAGUCAAAUAUGAAGAACAGACUUGUUUCCUUUCUGGUUUCAGCAUCUGGUAAGGGCUUUAUUGCUGUAUCAUACAAGAUGGCAGGUAUCACAGAAGAGGAGUAAGCAAGCUCAGGUCACUCUUCUGAAAAACCCAUCACAGGUGCUUCACCCUUAUAACCUCAUCCAGACCCUAUGACUUUCUGAAGGCCCCACCUGUGAAUACUGUCAGCAUAUGAAUUUGGAGAUCCAGUUUCUAACAAAUGAAGUUUUGGGGGACACAUUCUAACCUUAGCAGACUAACAAUAUGAACCUGCUCUGGGAACUUGUUGGAAAUGCAAAUUCCCAGUCCCACCCCAGCCCCAAGAACUACUGAAACUAAAACUGGGUGUGGGCCAACAAUCUAUGUUUUAAUGAGCCCCUGGUGAUUCUGGUAUAUUGUUAACUUUGAGAAUAACUGCACUAGACCAACAGCCUGAGUUUCUUGCCUGCAAAAUGGGAGAAAUAAUCCCACAUCAUACUGAGGUGAGGAUUACUCAAGUGGAGAGCAGCUGGAUCAGUGCCUGGCUCAUAGGAGGAGAGAUGAAUGGUGCCCCUUUCCUGCUUUCUAGGCUCCUUAAGCAUAAUGCUCAGCUGGCACAGUAUCUGGAACAGGGGUUAGAAUGACCACUGUUACUGGUGAGACACCUGUUUGCCAUAAUGAGCCUGAAGUUGCUGCACUCAGCAAUGAGCUGCACCUUGUAAUUGGCUCACAAGAAUGACAAGCUGCAGAGAGCCUCAGUUAAGGCCUUUCCAAUCCACACGUGCCAUUAGCAGGCACUCAUUAAAGACACGAAUGAAGAG